rnacentral:rRNA from 1 species
GACUACUGGGGUAUCUAAUCCUGUUUGCUCCCCACGCUUUCGUACCUCAGUGUCAGUUACAGUCCAGAAAGUCGCCUUCGCCACUGAUGUUCCUCCUAAUAUCUACGCAUUUCACCGCUACACUAGGAAUUCCACUUUCCUCUCCUGCACUCAAGUCUUGCAGUUCGCAAGGCUAACCGAAGUUGAGCCUCGGCCUUUCACCCUGCGCUUACAAAACCACCUACGUACUCUUUACGCCCAAUAAUUCCGGAUAACGCUUGCCCCCUACGUAUUACCGCGGCUGCUGGCACGUAGUUAGCCGGGGCUUCCUCCUUAGGUACCGUCAUUUGUUUCUUCCCUAAGGACAGAGUUUUACGAUCCGAAGACCUUCUUCACUCACGCGGCGUUGCUGCAUCAGGCUUUCGCCCAUUGUGCAAUAUUCCCCACUGCAGCCCCCCGUAGG